rnacentral:rRNA from 1 species
GAGAGUUGAUCCUGGCACAGCAUUGAACGCUGGCGGCAUGCCUUACACAUGCGAGUCGAACGGCAGCGCGGGCUUCGGCCUGGCGGCGAGUGGCGAACGGGUGAGUAAUACAUCGGAACGUGCCCUGUUGUGGGGGAUAACUAGUCGAAAGAUUAGCUAAUACCGCAUACGACCUGAGGGUGAAAGCGGGGGACCGGUAACGGCCUCGCGCAAUAGGAGCGGCCGAUGUCUGAUUAGCUAGUUGGUGGGGUAAAGGCCUACCAAGGCGACGAUCAGUAGCUGGUCUGAGAGGACGAUCAGCCACACUGGGACUGAGACACGGCCCAGACUCCUACGGGAGGCAGCAGUGGGGAAUUUUGGACAAUGGGGGCAACCCUGAUCCAGCAAUGCCGUGUGUGUGAAGAAGGCCUUCGGGUUGUAAAGCACUUUUGUCCGGAAAGAAAUCGCCUGGCUAAUACCUGGCGUGGAUGACGGUACCCCGGAACAA